GGGGGGCUUGCUGGAGGUUUCUGUGUACCUGUGGCCUUCUGAAGCACUGCAAUUUGGUAGUUGCUCAGGGGCUGGAAGGAUUGCUCCUUGCAGAGGUGACCUCCCUGCAGUUAGACUGCAUGUCAGUGUUUGAGGAAUAUACUUGAGCUGAUGGGCAUUUAAAUUCUGAGCAGUGGCUGUGGCAUCUGCUGGUGGUUGGCUACCAGAGCGCCCUUAAUGCUGCACCAUGCUGAGUGCCACUGGCAGAGCACCAAAGUCUCCAUGCUCAGGUUAGUGUCCCUAUUCCCAGGGGCAGCUCCUGGUCCCCAUCCUGUGGCCCAAGCCCCUGUCCAACUCCUCAGCCUCUGCCCCGUGCACCAUCUCUCCUCCCCGGGUGAAGAUGGGGCAGACGCAGUCAUUUCUGUGGCUUUGGUGUGCUGCACACAAAGCACUGUGCAAAAUUGCUCUCUCCUCUGCUUGUGCAAAUGGGCACUCACCAACCGUUAGGGGAACGGUACCUGAGGUGCACUGGGCAAGGGAUGUGGCGUAGGGAGUGGGAAAGGGACCUGGGGGUUGCUGCUGCUCUCACUGCUGCUCAGCCCAGGCCCUGCCUGCUUCAAAAAGCACCUUCCUAUUUCCCAUCUAAGCUGUUUCUGCAGUGCUCAGCUUCUUCCUGCUUUCUCCUCCGGAUGGGUCCCAGUGCCGGCAGCAGCUCCAUCCCAGCGCCAGCAGCCUGUGCGCACCGAAACAGGCAGCUAGAAAGUAAACAGUGUCUGAAACCUAUUCUCAUUAGGCUAAUUUACGAAUAAAUUACCAUAUUCAAUGGCCUUAUUUUUACUGCUCGUUAACAGGCCCAUGAUAGGAUGAUAAUUAUGGGAUUUUAAGUGGCUAAUGGCAGCUGGGGCGUCAAAAGCAGUUUUUACGAAUCUGUUUAUGGCAGGGAAGGUGACAGGAGGUGGGACACUGAGAUGCUGGAAUCGCAUGUCGGAGGGGGGGGAGCUUUAAUUGUUGAGUAUUUAUUAGAGAGGAGGGAAGACUGUAAUUUAAAAAUGAAAC